rnacentral:rRNA from 1 species
UGGCCCAGAUCGUUUACCGUGAAAAAAUUAGAGUGUUCAAAGCAGGCAGAUCCAAUUUUCUGCCACCGAAUACAUUAGCAUGGGAUAAUGGAAUAGGACCCUGUCCUCCUAUUUUCAGUUGGUUUGCCGCGAGGACCAGGGUAAUGAUUAAUAGGGAUAGUUGGGGGCAUUAAUAUUUAAUUGUCAGAGGUGAAAUUCUUGGAUUUAUGAAAGAUUAACUUCUGCGAAAGCAUCUGCCAAGGAUGUUUUCAUUAAUCAAGAACGAAAGUUAGGGGAUCGAAGACGAUCAGAUACCGUCGUAGUCUUAACCAUAAACGAUGCCGACCAGCGAUUAGGAGACGUUGAAUACAAAACACCACCAUGCGCAUUGCGGUCGUCUUUGGUGUCGCUCACAAGGCGGCACCGGGGCGGCUUAGCUCGCAUGGCACCGGUGAAUGACUCCCCUAGCAGCUUGUGAGAA